UGGAAAUUUGCAAUGCGCAAACGACCGCGUACGAAUGAGUCGCGCCUCGACAUCGAUCCAGAUUCUUCCACUGUCGCGCCUUCAUCAUCAUCACGUUCGUUUCACCUUCGUCACCUUCGUUCAUCCAUGAAGAAGCGAUCGAAUUCUUCAAACACCAUAAAGCGUUCUCUUGCAUCGGAAUUCAGGGAUUCGACAUCAAUGCGUUUCAUCACACUUCUACUCGCGCUUGGAUUAUAUCGAGGAUUCAUCAUGAUUCUCAUUUUAGGAUUCAUCCCUCAUGUUAGCGUUUCAAUCAUCAUCGUGUUCGCUUCAAAACGCUCAAGCUCGCGCAUGCAAAAUCGAGGAGCAACACGGAUUUAUCCCAUAAAUUAACGUUAAGUAAAGAAGUAAGAAGCCGCAGAAAACUCACCGGAUCGAAAUCGGAGCCGGCGCGGUGACCUUCCUACGAACAACCGGUAUGCUUCGACCUGCUUACUUCUCCUUCUUCUUCUCAGCUCUGUGAUGAUGUUCCUAUAAUCCUCUUCUUCUCAGUUAUGUGUCGUGAUUUGUUACGAAGCUGUGAUACGUAGUUGUGAGAUUGUGUGUAUGCUGAAUCGAGAAUGCGAUUAAAAUGCUGCAGGGCGAGUAGAAAUGCAGAACUCAGGUUGGAGAUUGAAACCUCAGGUUGCAGAAAAUGGAGGCUCAGGUUGCAGAAGGUGAAAACUCAAGUUGCAGAUUGAAGAGUCCUAUUUAUAAGUUCUCUCUUUCUCAAUUCUGUUGGAAAUGCAGGAAAUGCAGGUACUCGUAUGAAAGAAUAGAUUUCUUGACUUCGAAGAAAGAAAAUGCCAUGAGGCAAGGAAGGCAUGAUCAUGAAGCUGUAAAUGAAUUAGCAUGUUAAGACUUGCUUGAAUUAGGUUCCCAUGGUUGGGCUUUUGUGACUCUUGAGAUGAGUUUGUAUUGGUUUGAAUGUAUGGAUUUGUUCAGAGGGUCUAUAAUAUUGUAAUGGAAAAUAGAAUGGAAUUCGAUUUUGAAUAUUUAUGGAAAUACAUUAUAAUUAAACGUUGAAUGGAAGGUGGAUUAAUGAGAAGUUAUGGAA